UGGAUUUUUGUGAUAGAAAAUGUUUUUUGAAAGCGCAUAAGCUGGUGAUUGGGUCUGAAGAGUUGGUUGUGUUUCUUCGGGAGUGUAGGAUUGGUGAUGUGUUCCCUAUGUCGAUACAUCGUAUAGGGCUUCCCGCUGGAUCCAAGAGGAUUUUGGGAUCUGUGAAGUAUCGCUGUUUGGGUUUUGCUUGUACGGAUGCGGAACGCAUGGUGUGUACCCGUGGAGGGAGGUUGCGUCUGUUUGAGCUUGGUUUGCGCAUAAAGUGUGGGCGUCUCCUGGAUCAUCACCUCCAUAGUCUCCGGUGCCAGCUGCACAGU
rnacentral:lncRNA from 1 species